UAUUCCUAAGUAGUAAGUUUUAAUUCCUCCUUUUUCAUAGUUUGUAUUUAGUUUGUAUUUUGUCGAACGAUGACGGAGCCGUCGCAGAAGGGCCCGCGAGUCCAGUGGUCCGUCUCCGAGAUUUGGGCCUUGAUCGGCCUUUGGGAGGAUAGGUUGUGCGACCUCCGGCGCCAAAAAAGGAAUGGGGGGAUUUACGCCGAAAUGUCAGAGGCGAUGAAGUUAAUUGGGCAUCACAAGUCCAAGGAUCAAGUGCACAACAAGAUCGAAAACCUCACGAGCGUCUACCGGAAGCACCUGCGGACGGCCAGCACAACUGGAGCAACCGGAACUGGCCGUUCUAUUGGGAGAUUCACCGUUUCCUGGGAUCCCUGCCCGCAAACGACAACACUCUCGUGGACAAGAGCUUGUGUGCGCACGAUGUGACACCAGCUGUGUUGGAGCUGCUUUCAGAAACACAGGCAGAGGAUGUCCCGUCGGACGACAUCAGGGACGACACAUCCGACGAGACGUCCCAGGAGCUGCCUGGUGCGAGUACCAGCGAACUGCCUGGUGCAAGUACCGGCGAGCUGCCUGGUGCGAGCACCAGCAACUCUAGGAGCGGCCACAAUGCUGGCAGCAGCAACCAGGGUUGGGCAGAAAUACUCAAAAAUGUAUUUGGAAAUACAAAUACUGGGAUACACUAAAAUAGUA